rnacentral:snoRNA from 1 species
UGAUGAAGAUGAUGAAAGCAAUGGACGGGUGAUGAUCAACCUUUUCUUCAUUUGAUCAAAAAUAUCCUCGCUACGUUCUUUCUGAUUCAUUC